CCUACGGGUGGCAGCAGUGGGGAAUAUUGGACAAUGGGGGGAACCCUGAUCCAGCCAUGCCGCGUGUGUGAAGAAGGCCCUCGGGUUGUAAAGCACUUUCAGUGAGGAAGAACGCCUGGUGGUUAAUACCCAUCAGGAAAGACAUCACUCACAGAAGAAGCACCGGCUAACUCCGUGCCAGCAGCCGCGGUAAUACGGAGGGUGCGAGCGUUAAUCGGAAUUACUGGGCGUAAAGCGCGCGUAGGUGGCUUGAUAAGCCGGUUGUGAAAGCCCCGGGCUCAACCUGGGAACGGCAUCCGGAACUGUCAAGCUAGAGUGCAGGAGAGGAAGGUAGAAUUCCCGGUGUAGCGGUGAAAUGCGUAGAGAUCGGGAGGAAUACCAGUAGCGAAGGCGGCCUUCUGGACUGACACUGACACUGAGGUGCGAAAGCGUGGGUAGCAAACAGGAUUAGAUACCCUGGUAGUC
rnacentral:rRNA from 1 species